rnacentral:rRNA from 1 species
AACGUACGCUGGCGGCACGCCUAACACAUGCAAGUCGAACGCAGUAGCAAUACUGAGUGGCAAACGGGUGAGUAUAAUGUGGGAAUCUGCCUUUUGGUUUGGAAUAACACGGGGAAACUUGUGCUAAUACCGAAUAAGCCCUUACGGGGAAAGUUUUAAUGCCGAAAGAUGAGCCCGCACUUGAUUAGCUAGUUGGUAAGGUAAAAGCUUACCAAGGCAACGAUCAAUAGCUGUUCUUAGAGGAAGACCAGCCACAUUGGGACUGAGACACGGCCCAGACUCCUACGGGAGGCAGCAGUGGGGAAUCUUGCACAAUGGGGGAAACCCUGAUGCAGCGAUGCCGCGUGAGUGAAGAAGGCCCUUGGGUUGUAAAACUCUUUCGUCGGGGAAGAAAAUGACUGUACCCGAAUAAGAAGGUCCGGCUAACUUCGUG